rnacentral:lncRNA from 1 species
GUAAUCUAACUAUGAUUAUAUUAAUCAUUAACAUUGUGAUUAAUUACUUGAUUUGUGAGAAAAAUAAUGUGUGCCGAGACAUGAUGGGUCGAGGCCUGUAGACCUUUAGGUUGGGCUUAAAUCCCAUAAUGGACUAAGCCAUUACCAUGGGUAAAAACAUAAAAUGGAUAAAUGAAAGGGGCUUAAAAAUAUAAUCAAAUUGGGUUCAAAUAUAAUGGGCUU